UACGUAGGGUGCGAGCGUUGUCCGGAAUUAUUGGGCGUAAAGAGCUCGUAGGCGGUUUGUCGCGUCUGCUGUGAAAACUCGAGGCUCAACCUCGGGCUUGCAGUGGGUACGGGCAGACUAGAGUGCGGUAGGGGUGACUGGAAUUCCUGGUGUAGCGGUGGAAUGCGCAGAUAUCAGGAGGAACACCGAUGGCGAAGGCAGGUCACUGGGCCGCAACUGACGCUGAGGAGCGAAAGCAUGGGGAGCGAACAGG
rnacentral:rRNA from 1 species